UACGGGAGGCAGCAGUGGGGAAUAUUGCACAAUGGGCGCAAGCCUGAUGCAGCCAUGCCGCGUGUAUGAAGAAGGCCUUCGGGUUGUAAAGUACUUUCAGCGGGGAGGAAGGCGAUGCGGUUAAUAACCGUGUCGAUUGACGUUACCCGCAGAAGAAGCACCGGCUAACUCCGUGCCAGCAGCCGCGGUAAUACGGAGGGUGCAAGCGUUAAUCGGAAUUACUGGGCGUAAAGCGCACGCAGGCGGUCUGUUAAGUCAGAUGUGAAAUCCCCGGGCUUAACCUGGGAACUGCAUUUUGAAACUGGCAGGCUUGAGUCUUGUAGAGGGGGUAGAAUUCCAGGUGUAGCGGUGAAAUGCGUAGAGAUCUGGAGGAAUACCGGUGGCGAAGGCGGCCCCUGGGACAAAGCCGACGCUCAGGUGCGAAAGCGUGGGGAGCAAACAGGAUUAGAUACCCGGU
rnacentral:rRNA from 1 species